UACGUAGGGACCGAGCGUUGUCCGGAAUCAUUGGGCGUAAAGAGCGUGUAGGCGGCCACUUAAGUCCUGCGUGAAAUCUUGCGGCUCAACCGCAAGCGGUCGUGGGAAACUGGGUGGCUAGAGUGUUGCAGGGGAGACUGGAAUUCCUGGUGUAGCGGUGAAAUGCGCAGAUAUCAGGAGGAACACCGGUGGCGAAGGCGAGUCCCUGGACAACACCUGACACUGAGGCACGAAAGCUAGGGGAGCAAACAGG
rnacentral:rRNA from 1 species